GACGAACGCUGGCGGCGGGCUUAACACAUGCCAGUCGAACGGAAAGGCCCUGCUGUUUUGGGGUGCUCGAGUGGCGAACGGGUGAGUAACACGUGAGUAACCUGCCCUUGACUUUGGGAUAACUUCAGGAAACUGGGGCUAAUACCGGAUAGGAGCUCCUGCUGCAUGGUGGGGGUUGGAAAGUUUCGGCGGUUGGGGAUGGACUCGCGGCUUAUCAGCUUGUUGGUGGGGUAGUGGCUUACCAAGGCUUUGACGGGUAGCCGGCCUGAGAGGGUGACCGGCCAAAUUGGGACUGAGAUACGGCCCAGACUCCUACGGGAGGCAGCAGUGGGGAAUAUUGCACAAUGGGCGGAAGCCUGAUGCAGCAACGCCGCGUGCGGGAUGACGGCCUUCGGGUUGUAAACCGCUUUCGCCUGUGACGAAGCGUGAGUGACGGUAAUGGGUAAAGAAGCACCGGCUAACUACGUG
rnacentral:rRNA from 1 species